rnacentral:rRNA from 1 species
GGCCAAACAAGUUCCCUGUUAAAUCCAGCGAUUUAAUCGUUGGAUUGCGGGGAAUACUGCUUGGCUAGGGGGCGAGAGAGGCCGACGGUAUUUUCGGGGUAGGGGUGAAAUCCUAUAAUCCCGGAAAGACCACCAGUGGCGAAGGCUGUCGGCUAGAACGCGCCCGACGGUGAGGGAUGAAAGCUUGGGGAGCGAACCGGAUUAGAUACCCGGGUAGUCCAAGCCGUAAACGAUGCAGGCUAGGUGUUAGAACGGCCACGUGCCGCUCUAGUGCCGCAGGGAAGCUGUUAAGCCUGCCGCCUGGGGAGUACGGCCGCAAGGCUGAAACUUAAAGGAAUUGGCGGGGGAGCACCACAAGGCGUGAAGCUUGCGGUUUAAUUGGAGUCAACGCCGGAAAUCUCACCGGGGGCGACAGCAGGAUGAAAGCCAGACUAAAGGUCUUGCCAGACGAGCUGAGAGGAGGUGCAUGGCCGUCGCCAGUUCGUGCCGUGAGGUGUCCUGUUAAGUCAGGCAACGAUCGAGACCCGCAUCUCCAGUUGCUACCAGCCAUGAGUUGGGCACACUGGGGAGACCGCCGUCGAUAAGACGGAGGAAGGAGCGGGCCACGGCAGGUCAGUAUGCCCCGAAUCUCCCGGGCCACACGCGAGCUGCAAUGGCAGGUACAAUGGGCUCCGACCCUGUAAGGGGAAGGCAAUCUCUAAAGCCUGCCGUAGUUGGGAUCGAGGGUUGAAACUCACCCUCGUGAACAUG